AUUGAACGCUGGCGGCAUGCCUUACACAUGCAAGUCGAACGGUAACAGGUCUUCGGAUGCUGUCGAGGGGCGAACGGGUGAGUAAUGUAUCGGAACGUGCCCCGUCGUGGGGGAUAACGUAUCGAAAGCGACGCUAAUACCGCACACGACCUGUGGAUGAAAGCGGGGGACCGUACGGCCUCGCGCGACUGGAGCGGCCGAUAUGGGAUUAGGGAGUUGGUGGGGGAAAGGCCUAGCAAGCCGGAGAUCUGUAGCUGGGGUGAGAGGGCGGCCGGCCAAACUGGGAAUGGAACACGGCCCAGACUCCUACGGGGGGCAGGAGGCGGGAGGUUUCGGCAAUGGGGGAAACCCGGACCGAGCGACGCCGCGUGGAGGAUGAAGGGCUUUGGGUUGUAAACUCCUGUCAUGUGGGAAGAACCGCUGUCGGUCGAAUAGGGCGGCAGUCUGACGGUACCGCAAGAGGAAGCUCCGGCUAACUCCGUGCCAGCCGCCGCAGUAAAAC
rnacentral:rRNA from 1 species